rnacentral:rRNA from 1 species
AACAGUAUCUGCACUGCUAUUCCAAUUUCACUGAGACAAUCAUCGAGACAGCUGUUGUAUCGUUAAGUCAUUCAUGCAGGACCGCAUUUAACGGCCAAGGUAUUUCGCUACCUUAGGACCCUCAUAGGUAAGGCCGCCAUUAAUCGGGGUAUCCUUCAAAACCUCAGUUAAAAACCAAGGUAAAUCCGUUACCCAGCCGACAUUGGGCAGACAUCACACUCAAUACUUUGAUAUUUUAUCUUUGCAGAGUGCUGUGUUUUUAUUAAACAGUCGUACAACAUUAUUUCAUGUUUCCUCUUAUGAUUAGUUUAAUUAAAUCAUAUCAUAAGAUAUGUUAAACUAAUCAUAAUGGCCCUCCUUAUCCCGAAGUUACGGUAGUCAAUUUGCCGAGUUCCUUAAUGAUUGUUCACUCAA